rnacentral:rRNA from 1 species
GACGAACGCUGGCGGCGUGCUUAACACAUGCAAGUCGAGCGGUAAGGCCCUUUCGGGGGUACACGAGCGGCGAACGGGUGAGUAACACGUGGGUGACCUGCCCUCAGCUCUGGGAUAAGCCUGGGAAACCGGGUCUAAUACCGGAUAUGACUCCAUGACGCAUGUUGUGGGGUGGAAAGCCUUGUGCGGCUGAGGAUGGGCCCGCGGCCUAUCAGCUUGUUGGUGGGGUGAUGGCCUACCAAGGCGACGACGGGUAGCCGGCCUGAGAGGGCGACCGGCCACACUGGGACUGAGACACGGCCCAGACUCCUACGGGAGGCAGCAGUGGGGAAUCUUGCGCAAUGGGCGAAAGCCUGACGCAGCGACGCCGCGUGAGGGAUGACGGCCUGCGGGUUGUAAAGC